GGACGGCCCCGUGGUACAGAAGACCGCCCCACACCCUCUCAUAAACUUUAUUACUCCCUAUCCAUUGGUCCCUCUCGCCCUCUUCUCUCUGUUCCCUAUAUCCCCAGGGAAAUGCACCUAGCUUUCAGGCUGGCUCCGCUUGAUGGAUAACUCAGAGCUCGGAGGAAGGCGACCCUGACUCGACCCGGCAGAAAAGAGGAGACAGAAAACUCCCUCCCUAGAAUCUGGAAUGAACUCCUUGUGUCUGCCGUUCUUCCAGCCUCUCUGGCUUUGGCAGGACACCAGAUUCUGGCUUACCCUUCCUGGCUCUCGUCCCUGGCCAGCCACUGUGACCACUGCUUUGCCAGACCACCAGUGUGUCAGAUUCAUUUCCGUUCCGGAAGAUUGGUAUUUGUAUGGUUAUUGUUUUGAAAAAAAGAAAACGAAUUAAAUUAAGGGGAACCAAGGAGAGGGAUAUUUGUAGCUGAGGCCAUUGCUUCCGUGUGGAGCCCUGGUUGUGCCCUUCAGAGCCUCGGGCCGAGACGGAGUGUGGAGGCUGUGGGGCCCCCGGGAAUUAGCGCGUGGAGUGAACGUCGGGGCAAGAGUUGGGGUGGAUUAGCGGGUUCAAAAGCAGGUCAGGGGGAGCUAAGCGUGGCGACCAAGUCCGUGCUAGGUCAAGGUCCCUGGCAAAGGCUGGCUCGAGCGAUCUGCAGGAAGCCGUACCAGUCUGCAGCUGCCCAGCCAGGGACCAGAGAAAUGCAGCAGGAACCCAUGCUCGUCUGGAAUAAUUCACAGGACCCCGUUCGAGCUCCCUGGUUGAGCGUGUGCUCACCUGAAAGACAGGGUUUCUCUUUUACGUUUUAACCUUUUCUUUCUUUUCUUCUUUAUGUUUGAGACAGGACCUCACUCCGUAGCCCAGGUGGGCCUCCAGCUCAGGGCCAUCCUCCGGUGGAACCCCUGAGAUCAGAGGUGUGUCUCAUCAAGUCCCACCUCUUUGUUUUUAUACUCCCUCCUUUCUGACCAGAUAAAUACAUCGACCCACGCAGGUAGAAUUUUCUUAUCAAGAGUCUCUUUCUCCUCCUGACAUCGGGGGCCAUGUGAGUCAAAUGGGGGGCAGGGAUUUCUGAGACACAAUAAAAGAAUCGCAUCCUUCUCUCCCUGCGCGAGUACCUGCGAUAGGGAGGGAGAGCUGGGAGCAGCUGAGCCGCUUUUUCCUUUGCGAAAGGGAGAGAGGUGACUCUGAGCCCCGAACCUUUGUAGGGCCCUGGAUAGUCCUCCCUUUUCUCCAAAAGACUCGUGAAUUUUCACGGGGAACAAACUUGGAGGCGCGGUGGAAUUCGAAAUCCUGGUCUUGUUGGUGGCCUAAGAACAAUUUACAAAGCAGCCGGGGUGGGGAUGAAUCCUCGAGGUCUACCGAGGGUGGUGGCCCCUCCCGAGUCUCUCGGGCCCUGGCAUCCGGCUUCUUUUCCUCCCGCGCUGUGCAGGCCCAGGGAGUGGGGUACGCGGGUGGACUUGGUUUUGUUGAAAUCCGGUGAAUCUGGACUCGGGUCGGGCUGGCUUCACGGAGUAAACCCGUCCGAUCCCUGCAGGGGAGAAGUUUCCCACUUCCAGCUCUGGGGAAAGAGCGGAAACCGAGGUGGCAGGGAGCAGUGUAAAGCCGAGGUGGCUUGGGAGAGGCCUGGGCUGUGGAGUCCCCGGGCGGCUCCCGCGACUUCUCUGGAAUGCUUCCGCGCUGCAGGCCCUGGAUGCUGGCGUGGACGUGCAGGGUGUAGAGCGGCAGGCCCGGAUGGAUGGGCUGGUGCGGGGCUCGGGUCCGAGUGGAGUAGGUAGAAGCUUGGCUUUGAGACACAAUGAAAAUAAGCUUCUCGGUUCCCAGUCCCACGGUGCCUGACAUCUUUUCACUGGAAAAACGCCCAGAGCUGAAGGCACUGUCUCUCCUUCUUUAGGCGGGCAUUCUCGCUUCGCGGCUUGCAACCGGCCUUCACAGUUCAGGCUGCAGCAACAGAAAUAAUGGGACUGACGGCAAGAAAGUAUCCCAACGCUUUCCCGCUCUUCUGGAGCUGCCUCCACCCCCAUCCCCGCCGCCGCAUCCUUCUUUUUGAAUAAACUUACCGAGAAAGUACAGUUUUGUGUGUAGCCUUUUCUGUUUUCUUUUUCUUUCUUUCUUUCGUUCUCUCUCUCUCUCUCUCUCUCUCUCUCUCUCUCUGUGUGUGUGUGUGGUGGGCGACAGAAGAGGGCGUCGGAUCCCCUGUAGCUGAAACCAGAGUAGAUCUCUUAACCUCUGAGCCAUCCCUCUAGCGCAGCUUAACUAGAAAUUUUAAAUUUACAUCUGUUUAUUAUGUGUGUACAUUUAUGCGCAUCCGCAAGCCAGGAGUCAGAGGACAACUUUUGGGAAUGGGCUCUGUUCAACCAUGUAGGUUCUGGGGAUGGAUCAAAUCAUUAGCUUGAUGCUAGGCGUCUUUAUCCGUUGAGUCAUUUCUCUGUCCCUUCUUUAUUUUUUCAAUUGACCUUGCAGUUGAAAUAGCUCACAACUAAAGCCAUCCUGUCUGCAGCCUUCUCCACCCAGAGCAGAGCCUUUGGAUAUUUAUUUUACAGGCUCAACAGCACAGAGACAUCUCCACUGUGGAGAAACCAUCCCCGACUUGCUUUCUAAAGGGGACAGUGAGGCAUUUACUUCGGAAUUUGUUCGGCAAGAGUCGGGAUCUCAGAUACCAACACAUCGUCCUCAUUCUAAGACAUCCUCUGAAAUCGAACCUAUGCCGGGGUGUCCCUGAACAGAGCACUGGUGGAGAGCCUUCUAGGGAGAAGGAAGAGAGGUCGACCAAAGCUUGUGGUGAGCUCCCUCCCCCAUCUCUGAGGAAAGCUGUUGCUCAGAUAAAGCUCAGAGAAGUGUUUGAAAAGGAGAAACCCUAGAGCCAGAGCCAGCCGACCUAGGGAUCUCGGCUGGCAAAGACUCUUGGCUCUGGGAUUGCAAAGGGACACUUUCUAGUAGUGGGUUCAUUUCAGAGAGCAGGUGGAAAAGCCACGGAAGGCCACGCCCUGGCUAUCCUGGUUAAGGGACUAGGAAAUAGAUCUCAUCCUGUGUUUGUAGGACUUGAGAAGAUUAGAGUAUCAUUAGAUUAAGUAAUUGUUGUGGUUUGGGUCUUGUUAAAAGAUAUAGAUAGAUAGAGAUAGAUAGAUAGCGCCAGUCUGGAGUUCAGGCUGGUCUGGAACCCUUGAUCCUCUAGCCUCUACCAUCCAAUGCUGGGGUGACAGAUGUGCACUCCUCUACAGGGCACAGUGUAAAACAAUUUAAUAACUUUGAAUUUUGUCAUAACAAGAAUAUCUAUGUGUUUUAAGACUAACUUUUAAAAAAUAACUAAAAUUACAUUUAAAAUUUUAAGAUUGGCUUAAAAAAUAUCAGGACUCAGCAGAACCUCCUAGUAUUACUAAAGAGAAGUGUGCAGAAGUCUUUCUCAUACACACAUCUCAGGAGGUGGAGAUGUGUGACGCCAGUAACAAUCUGCUAUUCCGUGCUUCCUACUGCCCCAGAGAGCUGGGGCAUCUUGGCUCUCCCGGGCUAGGUGGAACCAUCUGUCCUUUGGCUUUUGGCAGCAGGAGAACCAGAAGGUCAAGGGCACCGUUGGCCAUAGUUUGAAUUCGAGGCCACUCUGGGUUAUA
rnacentral:lncRNA from 1 species